AAUAGAUACCCGGGUAGUCCACGCCGUAAACGGUGGGUACUAGGUGUGGGUUUCCUUCCUUGGGAUCCGUGCCGUAGCUAACGCAUUAAGUACCCCGCCUGGGGAGUACGGCCGCAAGGCUAAAACUCAAAGGAAUUGACGGGGGGCCCGCACAAGCGGCGGAGCAUGUGGAUUAAUUCGAUGCAACGCGAAGAACCUUACCUGGGUUUGACAUGCACAGGACGACGGCAGAGAUGUCGUUUCCCUUGUGGCCUGUGUGCAGGUGGUGCAUGGCUGUCGUCAGCUCGUGUCGUGAGAUGUUGGGUUAAGUCCCGCAACGAGCGCAACCCUUGUCUCAUGUUGCCAGCACGUUAUGGUGGGGACUCGUGAGAGACUGCCGGGGUCAACUCGGAGGAAGGUGGGGAUGACGUCAAGUCAUCAUGCCCCUUAUGUCCAGGGCUUCACACAUGCUACAAUGGCCGGUACAAAGGGCUGCGAUGCCGUGAGGUGGAGCGAAUCCUUUCAAAGCCGGUCUCAGUUCGGAUCGGGGU
rnacentral:rRNA from 1 species